GACGAACGCUGGCGGCGCGCUUAACACAUGCAAGUCGAACGGAAAGGCCUGCUUUCCCUUGUGGCUUGCGGGUACUCGGGUGGCGAACGGGUUAGUAACACGUGAAUGAUCUGCCCCCAACUUGGGUAUAAGCCUGGGGAACUGGGUCUAAUUCCCGAUAGGACUGCAGGGGGGUGCCGGUGGUGGAAAACGAUGUUCUAGUGGUUGGGGAUGAGCUCGCGGCCUAUCAGCUGGUUGGUGGGGUAAUGGCCUACCAAGGCGGCGACGGGUAGCCGGCCUGAGGGGGUAGACGGCGACAGUGGGACUGAGAUGCGGCCCAGACUCCGACGCGCGGCAGCAGCGGGGACUAGUGCCAGCUGUGCGGAAGCCUGAUGCAGCGGCGCAGGGUGGAGGAUGCCGGGCUUCGGGUUGUAAGCUCCUUUCGACCGCGAGGAAGCCACCUGGCUGGGAGGGUGGUGACGGUAGUGGUAGAAGAAGCACCGGCUAACUACGUG
rnacentral:rRNA from 1 species